AAAAAUUUAGUUAAAUUAUAACAUCAAUUUGUCAAGUUGAAAUAAAUAUUAUUAUAUUAAUUUUUA
rnacentral:tRNA from 1 species